ACUGAAGGAUUUGCACUUUCCAUCAAUAAAAAUAGUUCAGUACUCAAGCUUUUGGUAAAUAACUCUUAUAUGUUUAGUUUUGUCUCUUCUUUUUUUAUCUUUUCUUUCACUCCUCCAAAUCAGCCUGUCAACCUGAAAACUAACCAGGAAAUUCAGGACAGUACUGGCUUCUGUACAUUAUAGCCCUUAACUCAAACUCAUCUAUAAUGCCACUCCCACAUGAUGUUUUUCCCUUCCCGCGACGAGGACAGAAUCUUAACCAGACAACCAUCAUUUUGUUGGUUUCAUCCAAUAAUUUCUCUUUGAAAUGGGUGAAUCUCAAUAGAGUGGAACAUGACACAUUUUUUUAACCCAAGAAUCCAAUUAUACCAAAUGAUGUUUCUUUCCUAAUCCUUUACCUCUUUAAAUUCUGACUACAAGGAAUAUAUUCUUAGAAGCCAAGAAAAAGAAAUGCCACAAGGAAGAUCAUUCAAAACCACGUUCAUGAUCCCUUUUUUCUUUUGUUUUUUUUUGUUUUUUUGGGGGAUGGUAUUUAUUGAUCAUAUGGUAAAAGUUAUCCACUUUUGUAGAAGUAAUAUUUACCAGAACAAAACUAAUAAUGAGUUGGUAACUUGUGGGUGGCAAAGAAGAUGAUGAUUAUUAAUAUAUCAUUACAAUGGUGUUGAAUGAUCAAUCUAUAAUGAUGGGAGAGAUGCAGGCUGCAGCAGAGGAAGAAGAAGAAGGAGCCAGUAGUUGCCCUACAAUAGUGGACCAAUUAUCCAUGUAAAAGAAUGUGGGAUUUGAAAGCUUUAUUAGAAGAUGGAAUAGUCUUAAAGGGAGAGCUGUAAAGCAAAAGCAGAGCAGAUGAAAUCUGCUUUUGAUCUUCCUCUUAAAAAAAAAAAGCCAGAGAAAAAUCUACUGCAUCCUCAUCCCCUCCUUCCCUUCUCCCUCUUGCAUAGAAAACAGUGUUUUUUUUUUUUUCUUUUUCUUUAUUGCCAUCUACAAUUUUAAAAUUAUAUUUUGGGAUCCAUAUUGUUGUACCCUUUUAUCUCCUUUUAAUGCAGAGGUGUUUCCCCCUUCAUUUUAUCAAAUUUAAUUGAUCAUUAAAGUUAAGCGACAUUUCUUUUCUUUAAAA